GAUGAAGAACGUAGCGAAAUGCGGUAAGUAAUGUGAAUUGCAGAAUUCAGUGAAUCAUCGAAUCUUUGAACGCACAUUGCGCCCGCCAGCAUUCUGGCGGGCAUGCCUGUUCGAGCGUCAUUUCAACCCUCGAGCCCCCCCGGGGGCCUCGGUGUUGGGGGACGGCACACCAGCCGCCCCCGAAAUGCAGUGGCGACCCCGCCGCAGCCUCCCCUGCGUAGUAGCACACACCUCGCACCGGAGCGCGGAGGCGGUCACGCCGUAAAACGCCCAACUUUCUUAGAGUUGACCUCGGAUCAGGUAGGAAUACCCGCUGAACUUAAGCAUAUCAAUAAGCGGAGGA
rnacentral:misc_RNA from 1 species